GACGAACGCUGGCGGCGUGCUUAACACAUGCAAGUCGAGCGGUAAGGCCCUUUCGGGGGUACGACGAGCGGCGAACGGGUGAGUAACACGUGGGUGACCUGCCCUCAGCUCUGGGAUAAGCCUGGGAAACUGGGUCUAAUACUGGAUAUGACUCCACGGUGCAUGUCGGUGGGGUGGAAAGCCUUGUGCGGCUGAGGAUGGGCCCGCGGCCUAUCAGCUUGUUGGUGGGGUGAGGCCUACCAAGGCGACGACGGGUAGCCGGCCUGAGAGGGCGACCGGCCACACUGGGACUGAGACACGGCCCAGACUCCUACGGGAGGCAGCAGUGGGGAAUCUUGCGCAAUGGGCGAAAGCCUGACGCAGCGACGCCGCGUGAGGGAUGACGG
rnacentral:rRNA from 1 species